rnacentral:rRNA from 1 species
GACGAACGCUGGCGGCGUGCUUAACACAUGCAAGUCGAGCGGUAAGGCCCUUUCGGGGGUACACGAGCGGCGAACGGGUGAGUAACACGUGGGUGACCUGCCCUUAGCUCUGGGAUAAGCCUGGGAAACUGGGUCUAAUACCGGAUAUGACCCCAUGACGCAUGUUGUGGGGUGGAAAGCCUUGUGCGGCUAGGGAUGGGCCCGCGGCCUAUCAGCUUGUUGGUGGGGUNAUGGCCACCAAGGCGACGACGGGUAGCCGGCCUGAGAGGGCGACCGGCCACACUGGGACUGAGACACGGCCCAGACUCCUACGGGAGGCAGCAGUGGGGAAUCUUGCGCAAUGGGCGAAAGCCUGACGCAGCGACGCCGCGUGGGGAUGACGGCC